CCUACGGGUGGCUGCAGUGGGGAAUAUUGGACAAUGGGAGCAACCCUGAUCCAGCCAUGCCGCGUGUGUGAAGAAGGCCCUCGGGUUGUAAAGCACUUUCAGUGAGGAAGAACGCCUGGUGGUUAAUACCCAUCAGGAAAGACAUCACUCACAGAAGAAGCACCGGCUAACUCCGUGCCAGCAGCCGCGGUAAUACGGAGGGUGCGAGCGUUAAUCGGAAUUACUGGGCGUAAAGCGCGCGUAGGUGGCUUGAUAAGCCGGUUGUGAAAGCCCCGGGCUCAACCUGGGAACGGCAUCCGGAACUGUCAAGCUAGAGUGCAGGAGAGGAAGGUAGAAUUCCCGGUGUAGCGGUGAAAUGCGUAGAGAUCGGGAGGAAUACCAGUGGCGAAGGCGGCCUUCUGGACUGACACUGACACUGAGGUGCGAAAGCGUGGGUAGCAAACAGGAUUAGAUACCCUAGUAGUC
rnacentral:rRNA from 1 species